rnacentral:lncRNA from 1 species
GAUUUUGGACGAAUUUUGAAAACAAAACAAAACUUUGUAAAUUGAAAAGAUGCUAAAACGAAUUUGGUUUAAAUGGAUGGAUGGAAGGCUAGCUAAGGGGUUCAUCUCCACACAUGUCACACUUGCAUAUCAAACGAUCUCUAAUUGCUUUUCAAUAAACCAUGAAUUCCCAACGCCCCAAGUUAAUUAGGUCCGCUUAAAUUAACCUUCAGAUUUUCCUAAUGUUAUUGAAUUGGAUGAUUGCAUACGAGGUAUAUUUGGGUGAAUGGUGUAGUGAAAAUAUGGUAGAGGAUGGUGACUAAAUGGUGCAGCAAAGCAUGGUAUUUAUAGGCUGAAAUUCACAGCCCCUAUGUAGCAAAGGAAAAGGAUUUAAAAGCCUAAUUUGUAUAGGAUAAUAACACACAAUCCUU